rnacentral:rRNA from 1 species
AAAACAAACCUACGGGAGGCAGCAGUGGGGAAUAUUGGACAAUGGGCGCAAGCCUGAUCCAGCCAUGCCGCGUGAGUGAUGAAGGCCUUAGGGUUGUAAAGCUCUUUCACCGGAGAAGAUAAUGACGGUAUCCGGAGAAGAAGCCCCGGCUAACUUCGUGCCAGCAGCCGCGGUAAUACGAAGGGGGCUAGCGUUGUUCGGAAUUACUGGGCGUAAAGCGCACGUAGGCGGAUAUUUAAGUCAGGGGUGAAAUCCCAGAGCUCAACUCUGGAACUGCCUUUGAUACUGGGUAUCUUGAGUAUGGAAGAGGUAAGUGGAAUUCCGAGUGUAGAGGUGAAAU